rnacentral:rRNA from 2 species
UUAUAUGAGAGUUUGAUCCUGGCUCAGGAUGAACGCUGGCGGUGUGCCUAAUACAUGCAAGUCGAACGCGUUGGCCCAAUUGAUUGAUGGUGCUUGCACCUGAUUGAUUUUGGUCGCCAACGAGUGGCGGACGGGUGAGUAACACGUAGGUAACCUGCCCAGAAGCGGGGGACAACAUUUGGAAACAGAUGCUAAUACCGCAUAACAGCGUUGUUCGCAUGAACAACGCUUAAAAGAUGGCUUCUCGCUAUCACUUCUGGAUGGACCUGCGGUGCAUUAGCUUGUUGGUGGGGUAACGGCCUACCAAGGCGAUGAUGCAUAGCCGAGUUGAGAGACUGAUCGGCCACAAUGGGACUGAGACACGGCCCAUACUCCUACGGGAGGCAGCAGUAGGGAAUCUUCCACAAUGGGCGCAAGCCUGAUGGAGCAACACCGCGUGAGUGAAGAAGGGUUUCGGCUCGUAAAGCUCUGUUGUUAAAGAAGAAUACGUAUGAGAGUAACUGUUCAUACGUUGACGGUAUUUAACCAGAAAGUCACGGCUAACUACGUGCCAGCAGCCGCGGUAAUACGUAGGUGGCAAGCGUUAUCCGGAUUUAUUGGGCGUAAAGAGAGUGCAGGCGGUUUUCUAAGUCUGAUGUGAAAGCCUUCGGCUUAACCGGAGAAGUGCAUCGGAAACUGGAUAACUUGAGUGCAGAAGAGGGUAGUGGAACUCCAUGUGUAGCGGUGGAAUGCGUAGAUAUAUGGAAGAACACCAGUGGCGAAGGCGGCUACCUGGUCUGCAACUGACGCUGAGACUCGAAAGCAUGGGUAGCGAACAGGAUUAGAUACCCUGGUAGUCCAUGCCGUAAACGAUGAGUGCUAGGUGUUGGAGGGUUUCCGCCCUUCAGUGCCGGAGCUAACGCAUUAAGCACUCCGCCUGGGGAGUACGACCGCAAGGUUGAAACUCAAAGGAAUUGACGGGGGCCCGCACAAGCGGUGGAGCAUGUGGUUUAAUUCGAAGCUACGCGAAGAACCUUACCAGGUCUUGACAUCUUGCGCCAACCCUAGAGAUAGGGCGUUUCCUUCGGGAACGCAAUGACAGGUGGUGCAUGGUCGUCGUCAGCUCGUGUCGUGAGAUGUUGGGUUAAGUCCCGCAACGAGCGCAACCCUUGUUACUAGUUGCCAGCAUUAAGUUGGGCACUCUAGUGAGACUGCCGGUGACAAACCGGAGGAAGGUGGGGACGACGUCAGAUCAUCAUGCCCCUUAUGACCUGGGCUACACACGUGCUACAAUGGACGGUACAACGAGUCGCGAACUCGCGAGGGCAAGCAAAUCUCUUAAAACCGUUCUCAGUUCGGACUGCAGGCUGCAACUCGCCUGCACGAAGUCGGAAUCGCUAGUAAUCGCGGAUCAGCAUGCCGCGGUGAAUACGUUCCCGGGCCUUGUACACACCGCCCGUCACACCAUGAGAGUUUGUAACACCCAAAGUCGGUGGGGUAACCUUUUAGGAGCCAGCCGCCUAAGGUGGGACAGAUGAUUAGGGUGAAGUCGUAACAAGGUAGCCGUAGGAGAACCUGCGGCUGGAUCACCUCCUUU